UCCAGGUUAGGAGCAAAGGUCAGGCUGCGGUGUGAUGUUUACAACAGGGACAUUGGUGCAGGGCUGCUCUCCAGAGUACAGAACUCAGACACAAAUUGGGCCAGUGUGUGGAACACAACGGGCAGUGCAGAGAAGGAAAACCUGCAAAGCUAACGGGGCACCUGUAAGUAACAGGAAGAUGUGGAACUCAAGAUUCGUGCUCUUGUCAGAAUCACCGAACUGGAGGCACAUACUGCAACGAGCUACGCGGACAGAUUUGCAAGGCAUAUUGUUGGAUGAAAAAAGUAAGAAACAGGGGCUGGAGAGCACAACAAAACAUACUUACAGCGGAAGCCAUGCUUGCACACAAAACAAGAGCUCCGCCUGUUUCAACGCACAUCCAAGAGUGUAGAUGAAGUCCUCCAGUGAGUGCUUUGGGGGCACCGGUAAGUGGGCAUAGGGGUUUUGUAGCAUUAAAUGUGACGGGCAGUUGAUCAUUAUGUGCCAGGAAGUAAGGAGUAAGAUGAACUCAACUGUUUGAAACCAAGAGGCAUCUAGAAAAGAUAUGGAAAUGAGGAAAAUAAAGAAAGGAGGCUGCUGGCUGCAGAGAUCUUGGUGACAGCCCUAGAAGGGAGCCUGUCCUCCCAGGGCCUUGUGUGUCACUCUCAGGGACAGGGGUUUCCUCCCAGAGCCAAGGCCUGUGAUCCCAGAGUGAGGACAGCUGUGACUGUGCCUCCCAAGAACAGACAGGGAGGCUGCGGAGCCUGGGCACAGGGCGUGGUGGCUCGAAGCCAGGGCUGGGCUUGGGCGUCCCAGGGACGUAGACUGCUGUCCCUGCUCGGAUGCAACCCCUGGCACCCACUUCUCUGUGAUUCAGAAGUUGUAGGACUUGGUAACAGGCUGGAGAGACCCUCAGUCUCUUGAAGUGGGCCAUUACCAGAGGCACCGUGAGAGCUCAUGUCCAAGAGAACCGUCGCUGUGACAGCCGCCCACCAGCUCUCAGGAGCUGGCUGUCAGAUCCCCACAGUCUCCAUACACAAAAAAGAGGCUUUGCGCAAGUCCGCAGCAAUGGAAUCCAUCUCGCCGAGGCCCUGGAGGGCGGUGUUAAGGGCCGUGACUCAGGUCCUCCCACCUGGGCUGCAAUUAUUUAAUUUUCCUGGAAAAUCAGCAUCAUGAUGAUGAAUGCUUGGCUGAUUUCAGGGCAGAUUAACGCAUUGGAGAUGAAGUGCUUUCCCACUUAUCUUCCACUGUGUCUUGCUGAGAGCCUGUCCUGAUUAAGAGGCCAGGUCCUGCUCUCUUCCCGACGGCUCGCUCACCACCUCUGGCCCUCCCUCGGGGCCCCAAAGGUGGGGGAGGAUGUUCUUUGGAGUUUAUGUUCUUUGUUCUUCCUUUUCAAGUGCUUUAGGUUCAACUUCCACGCCUUGUUAGGGGAUGGACUGUGUCCCGCCCACGAAUCCCCUGUUGAAGCUGUAAUACCCAGGACUGUGGCUGCCUGGAGAUGGGGUCUUUGGAGAGGUGAAGUCACUUUGGGUGGCCCUAAUUGGGUAUGGCUGGUGUCCUCCCAGCAGAGGAUGUUAGCACACAGGCACUGGCUGGGGCCACAAGCAGACACCAAGCAGGCAGCAGCUGCAGGCAAGAGAGAGGCCUUGAAAGAAGCCAACCCUGUGGACGCCUUGAGCUUGGACUUCCACCCUCUAGGACUGUGGAAAAUAACGUCCUCUUGUCUCGGCCUGGGUCUCAGGGCUUUGUUAUGGCAGGCAGCUGUGGUAGUUAGUGCAUCCUCCGGCAAUCUCACACUCCCUGGUCUACCCACGCUGGCCUUUUGGCGUGGCUGAAAUAUCUGUCCUUCCCCUGGGAACCUGCCUGUUUUCCAAUGGCAGGUCUCAACGUGGUGGCAGCCUCUUUCUGGAGCAGGUGUCCUGUCCUGUGGCACAUGUCGCUGACCAGUUGCUGCCCUGUGUCCCUACUUGGGUCCUGCUGUCCCUGCUCUAUGCUGCUCUGUACUCCAGCAUGUCCCCCAGGAAGGCUGAGCAUGACAGGGACUUGCAAGGAUGGGAGUUCCCAAAACAAGAGCAAGAGGGAGGGGCACAAGGGGCCUCAGAGUGGCCUUGUGCCCACCAUCUUGGGAACCCAUGCCCUUCCGUUGGGGAGCCCGGGGUGGCGCAUGGUCCCUCACAGCCUCUGGGCAACUCUGGGUCCAGGUCUGGCUCGCGCACCCGGCCUCGGCGUCAUGGGGACGGAGGGACGCUGCAGAGCCAAGCUCAUAAAGCCAGCUGCCAGCCUGUUCAUGCUCCAUCACGAGGCCCAGACACUUGUGUGGGCAGGACCCCUGCGCUCGAGGAGGCUGGAUGUCCGUGGGAAGGUGAGUCAGGACCAAGCGUCCCCCUGGCAGGGAAUCAGAGCCAAGAUGGCAAGCGCCACAGGACAGUUGUUUACUGGCAGCAGACAGGAAUAGCUCAGCGAGCCAUUGCACAACAGCCAGGCCUGCCAGCAUGGCGGGAGGGAGGCGCCCGGACACGGGUCCCUGCUGCCCGAAAUCCCAGAAGCCCUUUGGCUCUGUCUCCCGCCGCCUGCUCCUCUCUGCCACCCCGGGACCUUCUCCAAUGACAGUGGGUCCGAAGGCCUGGCCGACUCUAAGCUGAGGGGCAGCCAGACCUCCUGGCCUCGUGGGCUGUGCAAGUGAUGGGAGUGGGGAGCCUGGGUCUGUGGUCAUCAGCCCCAGGGGUUGUGAGGCAGCAAGAGGCCCCGUCCUGCCUACUUCCAGGCUCCCCAGAUCCUGGCUGUUUCUUCAGAGUGACCCUGGGAUCUCCACACCGCCUGAGGGGAGGCAGGAAAGGGCAGCCCUGGGGCUGAGGAAGGCGGGGGCCAGGAGGACCGGAUGGUCCCCACAGCGAGUCCACCGAAGAUGCUCAUUGGCAGGAGGAGGCUGUUCCCGAGGAAGACUGUUUGGGUGAUGUGUGAACUUACAUAACAGCAAGAGGAGGCCAUUUGUAGUACACCCAAAAGAUGUAUCCAUCAGGAAAAGAAAAACUUGCGGAAAUAUUUUAAUACUAAAUUUACUGAAACACCACGAGAUUAAUACAAGACACCUUUGGCCUCUACUAUUGGAAGAGGGGGCUCGAAGUGGUGUCCAUGAGCUUCGGACAGCUAUUAGUAAGACACACCAAGCUGGCCCCUCCUUCCACCCGCACACCGGCCCUCUCCCCAGGGAAUGGACUUCUCCACCCUCGCCUCUCCGUUCUCACCGAAGCACCAGUAUUAGUGGAUGUGAAUGGCUUUCGCGCCGACGCAGCCCACCAGACAAGAUGGGCAGCAGGAGCACACCCCCCAUCACCCUUCUUCAAGACGCCCCAUAAAAUACCAGCUGCAAUCGGAGCACCUCUUUCUCUUGAGAGUCCACACGUAUUUCUUUGUUUACUUUAGAUUCUGCC
ensembl:lncRNA